rnacentral:rRNA from 1 species
CACGUAGGAGGCGAGCGUUGUCCGGAAUCAUUGGGCGUAAAGAGCGCGCAGGCGGCUUGGCAAGUCGGGUGUGAAAUCCCGGGGCUCAACCCCGGGACUGCAUUCGAUACUGUCAGGCUAGAGGUAGGUAGGGGAGAUCGGAAUUCCUGGUGUAGCGGUGAAAUGCGCAGAUAUCAGGAGGAAUACCGGUGGCGAAGGCGGAUCUCUGGGCCUUACCUGACGCUCAGGCGCGAAAGCUAGGGGAGCGAACAGG